CCUACGGGUGGCAGCAGUCGAGAAUUAUUCACAAUGGGGGAAACCCUGAUGGUGCGACGCCGCGUGGGGGAAUGAAGGUCUUCGGAUUGUAAACCCCUGUCAUGUGGGAGCAAAUUAAAAAGAUAGUACCACAAGAGGAAGAGACGGCUAACUCUGUGCCAGCAGCCGCGGUAAUACAGAGGUCUCAAGCGUUGUUCGGAAUCACUGGGCGUAAAGCGUGCGUAGGCUGUUUCGUAAGUCGUGUGUGAAAGGCGCGGGCUCAACCCGCGGACGGCUCAUGAGACUGCGAGACUAGAGUAAUGGAGGGGGAACCGGAAUUCUCGGUGUAGCAGUGAAAUGCGUAGAUAUCGAGAGGAACACUCGUGGCGAAGGCGGGUUCCUGGACAUUAACUGACGCUGAGGCACGAAGGCCAGGGGAGCGAGAGGGAUUAGAUACCCGGGUAGUC
rnacentral:rRNA from 1 species